rnacentral:lncRNA from 1 species
CAACUUACUACUCUUUUUACAUAUGCCAAUCAUGAUCACCACAUAAGUUUAAAGAAAGUCUUGGAUGACGUUAGGUUGGCAUAUACAAUAUAUGUGAGUCAACUACUUUUUUCCUUUUUCUUCUAUUCUACACAGGUUUGAGGUACUGGAAUUAUGCACAUACAAAUCAGCCACAUCCGCUUGCUGCAGAGUUAUUCGGUGGUAUCUUGAUCAUUCCACACGAGACACGCCCUGCUGCCACGCUCGCUCACCUGAUUCGGAGCAGCAAUUUACUGCAGCUAGCACAUGUAAGCAUGCCCACGCAUCCAUGUGAGCAUCCAAUGACUUCCUUCCAUGCACUGUUAUGCAUUAACACAAGCACACACACAAUUUCAGUUCCUUGGCGGAUCCUGAUAAUGUGAUUAUUUAUUGUGUAGAUGCACCCUAUUUUCUGACUCUCUGAGUUAUGGUGGAGCUUAGCUAUUAUAUGAGAUCAAAGGGAAUUCACUCCGGUGAUGGAUACAAAGAUCAUUUGCAAGAGUUGGAUGUUUUAUGUGUUGUUAAAGUUACAGGAGAUUGAAAAUCAUGGCUUGGCGUUGGUGGUCAUAGUCUAUGGCUCUCAAUUUUGUCCUCCUUCACAGGUUUAGUCUUACUAGCUUUCAGUGGUUCACUUUUGCCAUUCAAAAUAUAACCGUCAGGUAUGUUCAAAGAGCAACAUUCAGUGUUUCAUACACAGGGUCCGAUAGAUAGUGCUGCAUUCCAGUCCUUGGCCGUGGAGUUUCAUUCUUGCACAUGUAGUUUUUUUUUGAGUUCAUUCUUACAUAUGUAUUGUGUUCUUAGCACCAAUAUUUUUCGACAUCAUCAAAUCUUAUUUUGUGGACACUUGCUACAGUAUAUGGUACACUGAGUUUGUCCAGUAUCUUAUUUUCUUCUUCUGAUUUUCUAUAUGACAACAUAGUCAUCAUAGUGGUUCCGCAGCAACACGUGGGGAAUCCUUUAGUUCACUAUGUGUUAAUGCUUUGGUCUGGUACUCUAUUAAAAGGAGGCCUUAAUAUCCCUUAGUUUCCAUUAGGACCCCACUGCCACGGGAGGGUAGGACAAAAGAUGUCAUGCAAGUUAUAUGACUAUAUUCGGAAUACAUGCCUACAUUACAUUGAUGAAUUGGAGUUAGUUCCGUGUCACCCUAUGUUAUGACUAUUACAUGAUGAACCACAUCCGGCAUAAUUCUCCAUCACUGAUCCAUUGCCUAUGAGCUUUCCAUAUAUUGUUCUUCGCUUAUUUACUUUUCCGUUGCUAUUGUUA